GUCGUACGCUUCUUUUUCCACCGGAGCUUGCUCCACCGGAAAAAGAAGAGUGGCGAACGGGUGAGUAACACGUGGGUAACCUGCCCAUCAGAAGGGGAUAACACUUGGAAACAGGUGCUAAUACCGUAUAACAAUCGAAACCGCAUGGUUUUGAUUUGAAAGGCGCUUUCGGGUGUCGCUGAUGGAUGGACCCGCGGUGCAUUAGCUAGUUGGUGAGGUAACGGCUCACCAAGGCCACGAUGCAUAGCCGACCUGAGAGGGUGAUCGGCCACAUUGGGACUGAGACACGGCCCAAACUCCUACGGGAGGCAGCAGUAGGGAAUCUUCGGCAAUGGACGAAAGUCUGACCGAGCAACGCCGCGUGAGUGAAGAAGGUUUUCGGAUCGUAAAACUCUGUUGUUAGAGAAGAACAAGGAUGAGAGUAACUGUUCAUCCCUUGACGGUAUCUAACCAGAAAGCCACGGCUAACUACGUGCCAGCAGCCGCGGUAAUACGUAGGUGGCAAGCGUUGUCCGGAUUUAUUGGGCGUAAAGCGAGCGCAGGCGGUUUCUUAAGUCUGAUGUGAAAGCCCCCGGCUCAACCGGGGAGGGUCAUUGGAAACUGGGAGACUUGAGUGCAGAAGAGGAGAGUGGAAUUCCAUGUGUAGCGGUGAAAUGCGUAGAUAUAUGGAGGAACACCAGUGGCGAAGGCGGCUCUCUGGUCUGUAACUGACGCUGAGGCUCGAAAGCGUGGGGAGCAAACAGGAUUAGAUACCCUGGUAGUCCACGCCGUAAACGAUGAGUGCUAAGUGUUGGAGGGUUUCCGCCCUUCAGUGCUGCAGCUAACGCAUUAAGCACUCCGCCUGGGGAGUACGACCGCAAGGUUGAAACUCAAAGGAAUUGACGGGGGCCCGCACAAGCGGUGGAGCAUGUGGUUUAAUUCGAAGCAACGCGAAGAACCUUACCAGGUCUUGACAUCCUUUGACCACUCUAGAGAUAGAGCUUCCCCUUCGGGGGCAAAGUGACAGGUGGUGCAUGGUUGUCGUCAGCUCGUGUCGUGAGAUGUUGGGUUAAGUCCCGCAACGAGCGCAACCCUUAUUGUUAGUUGCCAUCAUUCAGUUGGGCACUCUAGCAAGACUGCCGGUGACAAACCGGAGGAAGGUGGGGAUGACGUCAAAUCAUCAUGCCCCUUAUGACCUGGGCUACACACGUGCUACAAUGGGAAGUACAACGAGUCGCGAAGUCGCGAGGCUAAGCUAAUCUCUUAAAGCUUCUCUCAGUUCGGAUUGUAGGCUGCAACUCGCCUACAUGAAGCCGGAAUCGCUAGUAAUCGCGGAUCAGCACGCCGCGGUGAAUACGUUCCCGGGCCUUGUACACACCGCCCGUCACACCACGAGAGUUUGUAACACCCGAAGUCGGUGAGGUAACCUUUGGA
rnacentral:rRNA from 1 species